CAGAAUUUUCAGGUUACCAUCCUGGGCCCCUAGUCUCGACUUUUUCGUGUUAUAACUCACUCGUGUUUAACGAUGUCACGUGGUACGAACGCACACGAGAUGGCAAAAUUGGUAGUCUCGACCUUCAACGCACAUUUCACUGUUCAGGUUGGAACUGACACGAGUAAACUUUGUGAGACGCUACACGAAUGUAAAAAUGGCAGACUAGUGGAUUGUGCUUCGUGCAAUUUGUGCCUUAAAAGAUUCCUAGAGACGUUGUCUGAGAAAACGAGUCAUUCGAUCAAGAAUAGAUGCUUUUGAUCUUCAUGAGGAUCUCUUUAGUCGGUUAUUCCGA
rnacentral:lncRNA from 1 species